GACGAACGCUGGCGGCGUGCUUAACACAUGCAAGUCGUACGGUAAGGCCCUUUCGGGGGUACACGAGUGGCGAACGGGUGAGUAACACGUGAGUAACCUGCCCACAACUUUGGGAUAACGCUAGGAAACUGGUGCUAAUACUGGAUAUGUGCUCCUGCUGCAUGGUGGGGGUUGGAAAGCUCCGGCGGUUGUGGAUGGACUCGCGGCCUAUCAGCUUGUUGGUGGGGUAGUGGCCUACCAAGGCGGCGACGGGUAGCCGGCCUGAGAGGGUGACCGGCCACAUUGGGACUGAGAGACGGCCCAGACUCCUACGGGAGGCAGCAGUGGGGAAGAUUGCACAAUGGGCGCAAGCCUGAUGCAGCAACGCCGCGUGCGGGAUGACGGCCUUCGGGUUGUAAACCGCUUUCAGCAGGGACGAAGCUUUUUGUGACGGUACCUGCAGAAGAAGCACCGGCUAACUACGUG
rnacentral:rRNA from 1 species